ensembl:lincRNA
CACAGAAAUGGGAUGCCUCGUCUUUGAUCCAUAAACAAAUAUACGGCAUUGCUGCAAUACUCGAAUCUCUCAGAAGGACUGUAUGGAGUAUCGCCUCCAGCAGCAGCAGCAGCAGCAGCCAAUGAGUCUUUAGCGGGGCGGAGGUGAGUGAGGGAGAGAGAGACGCGGCUGCGGCUCUCAAUGGAAGUUGCUGUAAGUGCGCUGCUGGACCUGUACAAUACAUUCACUCGCUUUCAGUUCGCUGUGAGCAGGAGCUCAGCUCACACCUAUCUAUACACUACGAACAGCCGCUUGUUGCGUUUCCAAAGUACGCCGGGAGACCUAUUCGAUAUGCAUUGAUUGCUUUUUAAUCAAACUCGCUGCGACGUUUCAUCGGACACUUCAUCAGAGCUCAUAUUAUUAGUACGCAUACAGUUUUAGGGGGGUGACUGCAUGCGUGCAGCCUUCUGGAUUCUGUGCAUUGGUUUAUGAUAGAAUUUUUGUGAUGGUUUAUGACUUGCAAAUCCCUCCAACAUGUUGAAAUAACAGCAAACAGGAGCAGCAACUGGAUCUCAUAUGAGACUUUCCGGAGAUAUUGAGUGAGUGUGCUUUUUAAAGUGGAAUAAUUGACGAGACUUUUAAGAAAUAAAGCAGGUUUAUAAAGUGCGGUGUCAUCAGUGUAAUGCAUAAGUGUAAUUACAACCCAUAAUAAUGACGUGUGUGCUGUGAUCGCGCGCUUUCGCUGGCAUCACGCGCAGCAGCUGCAUUUAAACUGCUGUUAAUGAAAAGCGCGUUAUUUAGCGGGAACUUUCGACUGGACUGGAAUGUACGUUUGCUGACUGUCAGCGCUCGUGAGUUAAACUUGCGGAGUCAGAGAGAGCGGAAUGGACGCCGGUGGAUGUGAAGCCACAGAGAGACAGUUCCCAGGUCUUUCUAAAAAACGCAGACCUGCCGGGAGACACAACACGGCACUGAAAGAGGAGGAGGACAGUGUUUACUCAGGAGGCGACCGUUCCCGUAAAGACACAGCGCGUUCCCGCUCAACAGCACUUCUCACACGCGUGGACAAGAAUGCCAUCAUGUCUGAUCUUAAGAGCGCUUCUUCUUCUUCUUCUUCCAUGAUUUUUACACAUUUCUCCGGGAGGAAUGUCAGCGGGAAUGGGAAGAGAAAGUUUGCGGUGCGCACUUGGAGUUGGUGGGCGUUUUUCUGCUUGCAAGUCCACGUGUUGGAAGCGGUCACGCAAGGUAAGACCACCACAGUUAUGAAUUACCUGCAAUCUGUUGUUAGCGCAGCGCUCUUAAUCACACCUGUCUCAUCCAGCAGAGAUAAUGACUGCUUCAGUAAAAGCUGUUUGUGUGUGUGUGUGUGCAUGUGUGUGUAUGUGUGUGGCAAUAUAUGACAAUAAUACUCAUUUUAAAAGGUGUUUUAGAUUCGUAUAUGAAUGCAUGGAUGAGCCUCAUGAAACUUAAAUAGCUUGAGUGGGAAAGAAUUAAUAAAAGAAGGAAUUCAAAAUUAUUUUCGCUCCAGGAAAAUAAAGUAAAUUUUUAUGGUCUUUAUGAUAUUUGCAUUGUGCUGUUAUUUAUUAUGACGCACAUUUUUUUAUGUAUAUUUAGUCCCUCCAACACUGC